UACGUAGGGCCCAAGCGUUGUUCGGAUUUACUGGGCGUAAAGGGCGCGUAGGCGGCUUGACAAGUCACUUGUGAAAUCUCUGGGCUUAACCCAGAACGGCCAAGUGAUACUGUCGUGCUAGAGUGCAGAAGGGGCAAUCGGAAUUCUUGGUGUAGCGGUGAAAUGCGUAGAUAUCAAGAGGAACACCUGAGGUGAAGACGGGUUGCUGGGCUGACACUGACGCUGAGGCGCGAAAGCCAGGGGAGCAAACGGG
rnacentral:rRNA from 1 species